rnacentral:antisense_RNA from 1 species
GCAACAGCCACAAAACCCGCCGCCUCGGGUCUGGGCCGUACUCGGGAACGGGGCGUCGCCGCUGCAGCCGCUGCCUUGGGAGCCGGUCCACACUGUCUUCAUGAGCUGUCGCACUCACCGCAAAGGUCUGCGGCCUCGUUUCUGAAGCCAGGAAGACCACAAACCCACCGGGAGGAACAAACAACUCCAGACGCGUGGCAUUGAGAGCUGUAACACCGCGAAGGUCUGCCGCUUCAUUCCUGAGCCAGCGAGACCACGAACCCACCAGAAGGAAGAAACUCCGAACACAUCAGAACAAAUUCCAGACACGCUGCCUUUAA